UCCAAGUUGUCCGAGUGGUCUAAGGAGCCUGACUUAAGAUCAGGUCCUCGUAAGAGGGCGAGGGUUCGAACCCCUCACUUGGAA